GCCUCCAAAUAAUUGGGCCCAAAAUUUUGUUACUGUUUGUUUUGUUCGAUUUAUCUUUUCUAAUUUUGUUUGGAUCUUGUUCGAUUUAUCAAUUUUGUUCGAAUGAUGUCGUUCUAGUUUUCUCUGAACUUAGAGAUCUGUUCGUUUUGUUCGAUUUAUCUUUUCUAAUUUUGCUUGGAUCUUGUUCGAUUUAUAAAUUUUGUUCGAAUGAUGUUGUUCUAGUUUUUUCUGAACUUAGAUCUAUUGUUACUGUUUGCUUUGUUAGAUUUAUCUUUUCUAAUUUUGCUUGGAUCUUGUUCGAUUUAUAAAUUUUGUUCGAAUGAUGUUGUUCUAGUUUUCUCUGAUUUAGAUCUAUUGUUCAAAUAUAAUAUUGCAAUUUUGACUUUGUAGGAAUCUGAAACUCACUACAAGAUUGCUCAUGAUAUUAUGGAAUAUAACAGUGAGGAACCUGAGGCUGAGGUAUAUAAUUCAAAAACUCAUGAUUAUAUAACGUUUUUAGUAUUCAAUAUUGUUGUUGCUUAUUACACAAUCCAAAAAUUAUUCUUUUUUUGUUAUUGAAUAAAACCCACUUCCUUACACUUUGGCACUUUGCUGUAUAGAUUUACAGUGAAUUCAAAGUUUGGUGCAUUGUUUAUUGUUAUAUAUAGCAAAAGGAAUAGUGUUUACUACUGAAUAGAUGAAAAAAAAAGUUAAGAGGUUAGGAAGAACUUUGAUGAACUAAUAGGAGUCAGAAAUUGGUUCUGGAGUUGAGACUUGUGAGGAAACUUCUGAAUUAUAUACUAUAAAAUGGCCAAUUUGUAGUGUUAUAAAUAAACAGAUGUUAAAUUCAUUAUAAAACAUAGACUGCAAUGCAAGGAUACUUCAUACUUUGAUGUACUUGACUUAUUUCAUGUCAUUUUUUUUUCUUCUUCUUCUGGUAUUUGUUAUUUUCUGAAAUUAGGUUGUCAAAGGCAUUCACAAUUAAAAUCCAUGACAUUGUGGGUUUUUGGGUUAGCAUGUAGUGGCAUCCAGUGGUAGAAUUAGAUGGUUCUCAUAUUCAUUAUACAUAAACUUGGAGAUUGUUUUCUUUUGUCAAUUUGAAUUCUACUAAUUAACACAUAUAUGACUUGAAAAACUUAUGCGUAUGGUUGUUUAUUUAUGCAUUCAUAUGCUUUUAUAUAGGAAUGUCCAUUGUUUUUAAUGUUUGGUGUUAUAUUGGUGUUUUUAUAGAUGAUAACUUGAUUGAGAAGCUGGUUGGUUUGUUCACUUACCACCAAAAAAAAAAAAAAAAUUGUAUUUCAAAAAAAAAAACAAAAACAAUUCAAGCCUCAGCCCAUGUCUUUUGGACGUUAUAUUAUGACCCCAUUCGGAUAUCAAAAAAUAAAACUAAGUGCGAGUUUUGUGAACACCAUGGAAUCACUGCACAGGAGAUUUGUGAACACCAUUGACUCACUGCACAUGCAGUAAUCUUUUGCAUGAGAAGCAAGUGUCUAAUCGACCACGAUUGUUACUUGGAUUUGAUGAAUCCAAACUCAAAUCUACGUCCACUUGGCAACUUACUUGAAAGAGACGGAACAAAGGAACAUUGAAAGAAACAAACUAGAAGGAAAUAUUUUCAGGCAAUGGCAAAGAUUGGAAAUGAACGGGAAAGAAACACGAAAAACACAGGAUGGAACGAUUUGAAUUGUUGUUUUAUAUGUAAUUUAGUAUCGUAUUUUUAUAUUUAAUUUAGUGUUGGAAAAUUUUCUUUUCUAGUGUACGAUGACUAGAUUCCCAUAGAAGUGAAUUUACUAUUCAUUUUGCCCAUUAAAAUACCAUUAAUGGUUGGAGAUUGUAGUUGCAUUACAAUUUUUCUAGUGAUAGAAUCUUCGUGGGUAACUGGGUAUGGGAUGUGUAGUAGUUGCAAUAGAUUACUUAUGGGUAGAGGAUAAAGUUUUUAGAAGGGGCUUACGUAUCUCUAUAAAUUUUGAGCUAAAAUAAGAGUCUAGUGGGGUCUAGCAAAGAGAGCGCACUUGUUUUUUUUUAAAUGUAAAUCGUUUGAUUUAUGUUAGCCUCAUAUUUUGUACUUAAAACCACCCUAGCAUUAAUUUUUGUGUGUGUUUUUUUUUUUUUUUUGAAAAUAAUAGACAAACCCAAGGAGUUCUUUACUGUGUAAGAAACAAGGAGCUCUUGCUAGAAGGCCUUAUAGAAUGAUGCAUAAUUUUAGUGGAACUACACAAGGUUUUAUAACUUGUAGCUAUAGUCUCUAUUUGAUUUUUUUGAUUGCAUAGUGGGUAAAAUUAAGUCUGUGCCAAUUUUAACGGAGAAAAAAAAUUGUACGAUAGAUAAAAAUGGGCAUUAACUAUUUAGCAAAUUUUAGUUGAGAAAUUUACUUGUUAAUCCUUCGUUGUUUUGUUGUACAAUAGAAAAACAAACGUAGUAUGGUAUAGCUCAUUUUAAAAAACAUAAAAACAUAUUUCUAGUAGGCUCUUUGUACAAUGGAUAAACAUAGUAUGGUAUAUCAAUAAAAAUUGUUUUUAUUAUUAAAAACAAAAAAAGAAAAUGGCAAAUAAAAGAUAACGGACAAAUCAUUUGUCCUAGAAAUUUUUUAAAAAUAUUUACAAAUUCAUUUACAGUGGACAAAUACAUCUAUUAUAGCCAUUUGCUAUUAAUAAAAAAAUUAAUUACACAAACUUAGAAAACAAUUAUGCUACAAAGUGUAUCACUAAUUGUUGAGGAUUUUAGUUAAACGAUGUUAUAAAAAAUGAACCCAAAUGAAUAAUUUUAGUUAAACUACUUUAUUUUAUAUAUUAUAGUCUUAAACACUAUUUGCAACAUACAUAUAUUUCUCAAAUCUCAACUAUUUUCAAAAAACAAUAAAUAUUAUUAUUGCAUUACAAAAGUGGAGUAUAGUUUUUUUUUCCCCAAACUAUCAUUACAUUUAAUCUUAAAUCCAUAAAAUAAAAAUAAAAUAAAGGCAAACAAAAUCGAUAACGGACAAAUCAAUUGUGCUGGAAAAAUUCUAAAAAUAUUUACAAAUUUAUUUACAGUGGGCAAAUACAUUUGCUAUAGCCAUUUGCUAUUAAUUAAAAAGUUAAUUACACAAACUUAGAAAACAACUGUGCUACAAAGUGUAUCGCAAUUGUUGAGGAUUUUAUUUAAAUUGUGUUAUAAAAAAUGAACCCAAAUGAAUAACUUUAGUUAAACUACUUUGUUUUAAAUCUUGUUAAAAAUUAAACCCAAUUGUUAUAUUGUCAAUGGUUGAACAUCCAUUUUAUUUUCAAAACAUCAAUUAAGUUUAUUUUACACAAGAUUAUGUUUUUAAAACAUCAUUUGAGUUAAUCUUCUAUAAAGUUUUGUUCUUUUUUUUUUUACGUGGUCAAUGUGCUUAAAUAUUUUGUUUAUUCAAUUAAGAAAAACUCAAACACAACAAAAAAGGUAGUCUAUGUAUUCAGCUUCAUUACUUAUAUAUUAUAGUCUCAAACACUAUUUACAAUAUGCAUAUACUUAUCAAAUCUCAAUUAUUUUUGACAAACAACAAAUAUCAUUAUUGCAUUGCAAAAGUGGAGUAUAAUUUUUUUUUUCAAACUAUCAUUACAUUUAAUCUUAAAUCCAUUAAAAAAAAAGCAAACAAAAUCGAAAACUAACAAAUCAAUUGUACUAGAAAAAUUCUAAAAUUAUUUAUAAAUUUGUUUACAGUGGACAAAUACAUAUGUUAUAGCCAUUUCCUAUUAAUAAAAAAAUUAAUUACACAAACUUAAAAAAUAACUGUGCUAUAAAGUGUAUUGCUAAUUGUUGAGGAUUUUAGUUAUACUGUGAUAUAAAAAAUGAACCCAAAUGAUUAAAGUUCAAUAACUUUGUUUUAAAUCUGGUAAAAAGUGACUUAAAUGAUAUAUUGCCAAUGGUUGAGCAUCCAUUUUAUUUUCAAAACAUCAAUUAAGUUUAUUAUAUACAAGAUUGUGUUUUUAAAACAUCAAUUGGGUUCAUCUUUUACAAUAGCCGUUAUUUCGUGCGAAAUGGUUUGGUACAUUACGGUGCGGAUAAAUAUGGACCAAGCAUUUUUUCACGUGUAGAAACUUAACAACCUGUUACCUGUAUUAUGUAAUACAGUCAACAUUGACUAGAGAAGAAAAAUCUUAUUACAUAAACCUUUCUAACCGGUUACCAAGUAAUGCAUAAACAGGUGUGUGGCUGAGAAUGGAUUUCGCACCAUAAGUACUAAGUUUUUUCGCAUUGAAUAAAAGUUACUUUUACAAGGUUUUGUUCUUCUUUUUACAUGAUUAAUAUGCUUAACUAUUUUGUUUAUUCAAUUAAGAAAAACUCGAACACAACAAAAAAAAUAAUCCAUAUACUCAACCUCAUUACUUAUACUAGCAGGAGAUGCCCGGGCAUAGCCCGGGCCGUGUUAGUCUAUUGCGAAGGGGUGUUUCUUACUUAAAAGGGGACAAUAAUGAUGCAAUUGAGCAAUUCAAUAUUAAAACACUAAAGGGGAAUAUAUAAGUAAAGUGUAGGUAGGAGCUCUUUGUCAACAUGGGAGUGAAGAAUGUAAGAAAAGUAUACGUAGGAUAAUUCAAGUGUAGAGAAGACUCGAAUAAUGUGGUUGAUAACAUAGUUUGUGAAAGAAGGUCUGAUGUAUACUUGUAUGUUGUCAUGAUUCAUUAGUUGAACUAAUUGUUUGAACUUCUGUAAGUUGGCCUGUCUAUUACUUGAAGUUGAAAUUGAGAAGAGGGAAGAUUAUAUUGAUGUAUGGAAACAGAAAAAGACAAAUUUAUAUUUGAAAUUUGAGUAAAAGAAGAGAAGUCCUGUGGUUGCUUUUGUUAGUUUAGUCUGUAGAAGAGGUUAUUGUACAUGUUUGUCGAUAUGCAAGUAAUUGUUUUUCCAAGAACCGAUGAAGUAGGAACAAAAGAUAGCAAAAAAAUUAGACGUGUAUAUAAACAAACCAGACAAAUAUUGAGUUGCAUUUGGAAGUUUACUUUGUUUGAGGAGAAAAAAAGUAGGUUCCUUUAUGAUUGGAAAAUUCAAUUUUGCAAUAUUUGGCACUGCAAUAUUUGACAUUGCAAUAUUGGACACUGAAAAGGGAACCGUAUUUAAGUUAGGACCAGUCUCAAAAAACAAAAGAGAACCAUAUUUGUUGAACUGGUUUUCUUAUAGUACAGGAGCAUAGAAGAAAAGAAAAUAGGAGUCAUUUAGCAUUGAGAUUCCAAUAAAAAAAUAUAUUUACAUUUUACAUGAAGUAUAUUAGACAAUUGUGUUGGAACAUGUUUUUUCAUUGUUGCAGAUCACGUACAUGAAGGAUAUGCUAUUUGCAGUUUUACAGGAAUAACAAUCAGCUUUCUCUUUAAUCUGUUUUCGGAGCUUGCAUAAAUCAUUUUGUUACUUAUGCGUGACAUGUUAGGAUUAUUGUAUACCAAAUAGAAGGGUUUUUAUUGAUGUAUUAGGUACCCAAAUUUUUUGAGUACAUGUGUAUUAGUGUAUUAGUGUAUUAGUGUAUUAGAGACACGUGUAUUAGUGUAUACAUGUAUCUAUACGCAUAAAAACAAUGUGUACAUUCUGGGAAGAUUUUUACUGUUUCCCCCUCCAUAAAUUCACCUAAACAAAUAGUUUGCAGUAGACGGAUAAGAGAUUAAUAGCAUCAAUUAUGACUUCAAGUAUGGCGCGAGAAAUAGUGGGGGAGACGUGUAGUAUUUUUGGAUUCAUUACAAAGUAGAUAUAAGGGCAUCAAUCAGUAAAGAAUGAGUGCAAAAUGAAGUGGUGUAGCUAUGAAAUGCUUGAUUGUAUGUAUUGUGACUAUUGCCUAUUGCCUACUUGAUAGAGAAUAUAUAUGCGGCUUGUCUAUUUGAUGGGACGGACUGGUUACGCAUCACAAAGUAGAUAUAAGGGCAUCAAUCAGUAAAGAAUGAGUGCAAAAUGAAGUGGUGUAGCUAUGAAAUGCUUGAUUGUAUGUAUUGUGACUAUUGCCUAUUGCCUACUUGAUAGAGAAUAUAUAUGCGGCUUGUCUAUUUGAUGGGACGGACUGGUUACGCUAAUUGCCUGUAUAAAUUUUACAGAGAGUGACGUGUGGCCAUAGGACUGAAUUUAUACUUGAUUGUAUAGACCUUAAAAGGGGAGCAACAAUAGUUGGUAUUAUAUCGAGAUAAGAACAAUCUGGAUAUUAAGGCAAUCGGAAAAUAAGUACGAAAAUUGGAAGUAUUAGGCUUUGAAAAUUAAGUAAACCUAAGCUACGGCCUGAGAAAAGUAGCAAAUUUAGUGGGCUGGACUUUUGGCAAGGGUGGACUUUGGCAAGGCUGGACUUUUGGCAAGGCUGGACUUUUGGCAAGGCUGGAGCGGGCUGGACUUUUGGCAAGGCUGGAGCGGGCUGGACUUUUGGCAAGGCUGGAGCGGGCUGGACUGUAGAAAGAGCAGAAGGACACGGAGGGAAUUAUAGGGAAGACGACGAUAUGGGGGGCAUGGACUGUAGAAAGGCCUUCGGCCAUUACAAAGUAGAUAUUAUAGUACAUAUACUUCUCAAAUCUCAACUAUUUUUGAAAAACAAUAAAUAUUAUUAUUGUAUUGUAUUGCAAAAGUGGAGUAUAAAUUUUUUUUUUUCAAACUAUCAUUACAUUUAAUCUUAAAUCCAUAGACUAACUUGUAUACUAACAUCUUGAUAAAUGAAUGUUUAGUAAAUAAAUAAUCUUGUUUAGGUGAUCAUUUUUUCUUUCGGUCCCAAUUUAGGUUAUGCAUUAAAUAAUAUCUUGUUUGGAAACCUUAUUGAUAUAUUUUGUAUGGAAUUCUAUAACUCAAAUUUUAUAAAAAAAAAAAAAAUACAAUAAAACCUCAAUAUGAUAGUACCCAAUUAAUUAAUAAUAUUUUUGAUUGCGAUUUGGAGAUAGUUUGCUAAUAUUUUUUGGAAAAAUCCUUAAAAGCCCAAUAAAUAUACAAAUUAAUUCUCACAAAAAAAUAUAAAUAUACAAAUUAAUAUUUUUUUGAUAAAUGAAUAUAUUUUAUGUUUUUAAAAAUAAAAGCUCAGCGUUGCUUUUUUUCUUCUUCUAUAAAUUGACGUCAAUUUGUAUUUGACCUCUAAUUUUCGUAAUGUGAUGAGUUGAUCUGAUGUUGUAUUCUUAUACUGUAAGGUGUUGUACUCUUGUAUUACAAAAAAAUAUUGUUCAAAGUCAUUAUCGGUUUAGUGUUUUUUUCUUUUUCGUGGAACUAUUUAUUUAGUAGAACAUUCAUCUUUAACUUCGUAGUUUUAUCCAAAAAAUAAAUAAAUUAGUGUACUUAAUUCUAUAAAUUAAUAUCUCACUUAAUUAACAAUUUUUUCUGAACCCAAGACUAUUAAUUGAUCAAGGUUUUACUGUACUAUCUAAAACUUGUACUUAAACCAUAUUUUACUCUAAUUAAAUUCUGAUAAAAAAAAAAAAAAAAAACUCCAAAUUGCAUGUCUUUACAUCAAAUGAUCAAAGUGCAUUAACAAAAUUUUCCUCUUUGAUGUCCCUUGGGUGUUUUCAUCUACACUGCAUUUAAAUUUAUAGAUUUUUUUGACAUAUCCCACUUUCAAAAUGGAUUUUACAGAUACCCCCAUUUAGAAAAAAAAAAAAAUUCCUCCAUUUCAAGAUACAAGAGAUUUAUAACCUCGGAUGGCAGAUAACACCUUCAAAUUGGAGUAGGACAAAAAAUCUCUUAAGAUUUAUAAAACACCAGUAGUAAAAGAAAUUGUGUAAGUGAUAAAUAGUAAUUUAUUAAUAGAUUACUAAAUUAUUCAUAUAUUUAUAAAUAAAAACCUUACAAAAAUAAUAUUUUAUAAUGCUCUAAAGGGUUUUUUUUUUUUUUGAUAAAUAAAGGCUUUUCUUAUUACAAGGGUAUGUAUUAAUCUAAUUUUUAUAAACCCCCACAAUUUAUUGGAACCAAAUUUUUGGGCUCAAUUGUUCUUUUUUUUUUAAAACAAAACUAUCAAAUAUAUAUUUAUUUAUAUUACAACAACUACAUUCAGAAAUAUAACAGCAAUAGAUAAUAAUAAUAAUAAUAAUAAUAAUAAUAAUAAUAAUAAUAAUAAUAAUAAUAAUAAUAGAAACACUUCUGGAUAUAAUGAAUCCACUAGAAAAUGGAAAUAGACACAAGCCCUCCUUCAAUAUACAUUUAGCCUUUCGGUGACUUUUUAACCACAAAACAUUAUUUUAUUUUUUUAUCGUAGAUUCAAUAUCUUCUUAAAUGCUCUUUAUUUGAAAAAUUAUUAUCUGUGUGGGUGGGGUUUGGGAGGGGGAAGGAGUAAGGGUUAGGGUAGGAGUUUGUAAACUUCUGAUAUUCUAAUUCUUAGAUGUGUCUCCUACUCUCCUUGAGCAUGGCUAGCGGCACAUUAGAUGGCUUGACCUCACCUUGAUCCAUGAUAGAAAAAGGUACCCGCAACUCUGAACCAAAGCCAUUGCCCCCAAUGUCGCAUCUUGCAUGCAUAAGGUGAAAAAAAUAGACAGUCAGCUUCUUACGAUUCUGAAAAAUCAAGAAUAGACAAUAUUUUCCCAGGUAAGGUCUGCUAAGUCUGGUUAAUUAAAGAGUAGUGAUUUGUGAAGCAGCCUCCACUACCUCUCCUAUUCCCACAUAACAACCCGAUAACUUUAUUUUGUCUAUCUGUUUCACACCUGCAGAAAUAUACAAACAUCACAUAAUUUAAUUAUUAAUGUAAAGACAGGAAAAUAUUACUAAAAAGUAUUUCAUGAGACGACCAGUUUAAACACUUCAAAGCUGUAACAUGUAGAUGGACCAUGGUGGUCCACUGUAUUUGAGGGUUGUGGGGAGAUUAGGCUAGACAAUGCUCCAUUUUAAAACUACUUGCAAAUAAACUAUAUAUUCAGGCUAGAAGUUUCUUUCACUGUCAAUUUCUUUUAUAAUUUGGUUACUUUGAGGGUACAGAUUUUUUUUUUAUUAUUAUUAUUAUUGAUGUUUUAGGAGUUAUAAUCCCAGAAGUGGAACUUGAAGAAGAUUUACCUAAGAACAUAGAACCAAUGAUAUUAAGAGAUUUGAGGUCUAUAUGAAAAAACCACCCAAAUACAGAAAUUGAAGGUGGAGAAUAAAUUCUCAAUCUAAAGCAUUCUGGGAUCGUCAUGAGUUUGAAAUACAGAAAAUGAAGGUUGGUCGUGAGUUUCAAAUAAAAGGUGGUUAGUAUAUCUUCAGUGUUUCACCUCUAUCCUGUGGUAUCCUUUAACUCUCUUCACUUGACAAGCCGCAGGAUACCACUUGCCUAAUGGAAAAGGCAAGAGCUACUGAACUGACCAUCCUUUAUUCAACCAAUCCUAUAUAACUUCAGAACUUAGAGGCCUAACCAAGUCAACUUCUUAAACUUAAGGAUUUGGACGGCUUACUUAGCAAGCCUUUCCCCUCAAAUUACAAGUGUAAAAGGAAGAACCAUGUAGAAGUAACCAUUUUUUUUUUCUGCAACUACUGGUGAUCCUUCUUGAAGCCAAGCCAAAAACUUAUAGAAAUCUCAAUGCUUCUAUUUUCGUGUUAGACAGAUGAGUCCCUCAUCAUUAUCAGGAUAGACUGCUUUCAAAAUGAAAGUUACAUAUGCAUACAUAACAUCUGAGCUGUUAUGAAUGAUACUGAUAAUAAUAAUCACCCUGCAUUUCUGAUAUGCAUUAUUUCUAAAAAAACGCUAUGCUUUGAUGUUUCUAAACUUAGGUUACAACGAACUGUCCUAAAAAAUAGAAAACUGCAGCUUAAGUGACUUGUAAUUUAUUGUUUCUACAACCACAGUUACUUCUUUGGUUUUGCUCUAGUGCCAUCUCUCUAUUUUGUUCAGGUUUUUUAUGUGCUUCUUUGACAUUUAUGCUUCUUUAAGUAAUAUUUGUUUUUGCUAUAGUGCUAUCUCUCUAUUUUGUUCAUUUUUUUUAUGUGCUUCUUUGACAUUUAUGCUUGUUUAGUAUAUUUAUAUGAAACAUUUUAUUUAGGUAAUUAUAUUUUAUCUAGAGAAUCAUAACCAAAGUUUUCAUCAAGGGCUUACACUUUGAGGCUUCAAAGAGAAAAUAGGCUUUUAAGUUUCAACGUUUUUUCAUAGAGUUUAAGUUUUAACAUUGAGACGCCAUUUGGAUGAAAAUUUAAGUGAAUUGGGGUGGUGUAGCUAAAUUUAGUAGGCAAGUAAACAAACAAGUAUAUCAAACAUAGCACCAAAUCUCAAGUUUUAAUAGUGGUCUUUUAAGAAAUAAAGAUUAAAGUUUUAAAAAAAAAAUUCAUCAACAAACAGCAAUUUCAGGUUUUAGAAAAGUUCUUAUCUUUAUGCUAAUUCCCCCAUAUCUUGAAUUUAACAAAUCAACUAUUUUCCACAGAUCUAAUAUAUCUAAUUAAAAUAGAAAAUUUUAAUAAGAUACAGUCUUCUAACUUCUUAUUUCUUCUAACAACUGGGAAGUGCUCCUACUACCCUGAUACUGUUAUCUGUCAUCUGCUCUUUUUUCUUUCUUUUUUCUUCUUUUUUGGUUAGGUGAAAUUCUGUUUCACCAGUUUUUCAACCACCUGACGACACACUACAGUGUGGGCUGAUCAGGCUUGUAUCUUUUUUGAUAUCAAUAAAUUUCUGAAUUUAUCAAAAAAAAAACAGUCUAUAAAGAUUCUAAGAGAUAAAGAGGAGAUUCAAUUUUUAUAAAAGAACGAAAGAAAAAAAAAAGUCAGUUUUUAUAUAGAAAGCCCUCACCUGAUGCAAGCAGAAAUUCUGAGAGAGUUUAUCCACUUGAUCAAACAGAAAUUCUGAUUGAUUGAUUGUCUCUUGGCAUCUAAUUUGAUUAUCUGUGUACUGUCACUGGUUUGUGUGAAUUGUUUAGGUUUUUUUUUACUAACAAUGAGAAUGAGAAUGGGCGAGAUAAUGAUCGAAUGGUCAGGUUAUAAAAAAAUAAAAUAAAAUAAAAGUCUCUAAUUUAGAUUGGGCCAUGGGUAGUUGUCAAUUAGAUAAGAAUGGUCGACUUUAUAGUUUGGGCUUUGGCCUGGGUACAGUUCAUUUUACUUUUUGAGUCUUAAUGUAACCAAACUGUUUUGUGUAAUGUUAACAGACAUAUAUCCGUAGAAAUGUCCAGCAUUUAGACCAAUUCAAAUUUGAAGGUACUGAGAUGAACAAAGGGGAGUUUAAUAGUUUGGAUGAUCUUUAUCAAAUGAUCAAGACAGAUGCUGAUAAAGCUGAAGAUACUAAGCUUGAAUUUCAAGAGCUGGAUUCAGGGGACGAGUACAAACCACUCAACCAGAAGAAUUGGGGUCGCUUUCAAACAUACGGGAGAAAGGUAAGAAAGGUUUAAGUGUUCCUUGAAAUAGAUGGACAUCUUCACAUCACUUGUUUAGCUGAGAACUUUUCUUGGUUAUGUCUGUUCAACUUUUACAUUUUCAAAACUUUUUUUCUUGUUUGGAACUCUUAGUAUUUUGUAUGUUUUAUGACUUUAUCAAAUAGAAUAGUAGUCCUUAGACCAUUACAGUGCUAUAUUCUUGAGUUUAACUUGCUACUAGUUGAAAUAUUUAUUCUGUUUUAUUUAUUUAGUAUGAUAGUAAGCACUUAUUGAUGAAGAG
rnacentral:lncRNA from 1 species